rnacentral:rRNA from 1 species
UACAGAGGGUGCGAGCGUUGUUCGGAAUUACUGGGCGUAAAGAGCUCGUAGGCGGUUCGCUAAGUCGGGUGUGAAACCUCCAGCUCAACCUGGAGACGCCACCUGAUACUGGUGUGACUCGAGUCCGGUAGGGGAGCGUGGAAUUCCACGUGUAGCGGUGAAAUGCGUAGAGAUGUGGAGGAACACCGAUGGCGAAGGCAGCCUCCUGGGCCAAUACUGACGCUCAUGCACGAAAGCGUGGGGAGCAAACAGG